AGCCUUCUGUAUCCGUGCUGAGAUUUCGUCAUAUACCAGACCACAAGGGUUGAUGAGACUGGUCCUACGUAAUACA
rnacentral:pre_miRNA from 1 species